UGUCACCAGCCCUGGAGGUAUUUAACAGAUAUUUACAGGACACAGCACAUAUGUGAGAUCUGUGGACCAUGCAGAGGACUCUGGAGGGCAGAGCUUGAGAUGCUUUUAUUUGAAGAGUCCCCAUUAAUUUCUGCCUGAAUCAUGCCAGUUUGUCAUGCUGGCGUUUUUGUGCUGCGGGGAGGAAGAACAGUGUGAAGCACAGGGCAGUCUUGGGGCUAUAAAGUGGAUAUCAGAUACUGUUUUUCAUUGAAAUUCCACUAUUUCCUGGUGCAUAGCAAGGAAAUCACCGUAAAAAUCACCACCCAGAAUCCAGAAUGUCAUGGCCUGUGUGCACCUGUUUACAGAAAAUGGUGAAAGACACAGAUUGCUUCACUUAUUGGACUACUGUGAAGUCCUUGCAUAUUCUGGCUUGAAAAUUUGUAUGAAACCAUCCAGAAAAAAGGUUUAGAUGUGACAGAUUUAUGUGGAACUGAAAAGCAUGAGAGAGAAAACUCAAGAAA